AAUGACUAUUACACCUAACGUGACGCAGUUGAAUUCCUCGUUACGUAUCAUAAUCGUAAAUUUCCUUAAUUAUACGAAAAGGAUGUGGUCUCGUGGCAGAACUGGUCCCGCAAGAACCAAAAACUCUCAUCAUCGGUCCACAUGUUGUCUCCAUCAUCACAGCCCCAAUAGUUUAACUCCAAGAAACCCGUUUGACCCGCCGGAUCAUAACCAGACCCGUUCACUACCCUGUCUUGAACGUCCGAUAACGUCUCAGCUGGCGAGUUCGAAGACGUUGCGCACAGUUCCGAAGCCUGCACGAAUUGAUGACGAUGCUGGUCCGGGUUUAAAACAAAACCUGGCUCGACCGGAGUCUGUUUGUCGAUAGGUUGACCUGGGUCGGUGAUCACUGACUCCACUGGGUCAUACGUGGGGGAUGGUGUUUGGGCGUUGAUUCUUUCCAUUAAUCUAGGCAUCCAAACAUUUUUCAUUGUCUCCUUGAAAAGAUUGCUAUUAACAUCGCAUCUAAGGUGUUUAGCUUGUUUUUGCACACGAGUUCUCCAAUAAUUCUUUAUUUCAUUAUCUGUUCUUCCCGGUAGAUAUUGUGCAAUCUUCGACCACCUUAUAUUUUUUUUAAGAAAAAACCAAACAAACAAAUAUUUAUAACCGUACAAAAAUAAUAUUUUCUAUAGAAGUGUUAACUAGUAAAUGGGGAAGCAAGUAUUUACAUUUGCAUCUUUGGUAACAUACCUAUUGCCCCAGUGCAAGAACCAAAAACUCUCAUCAUCGGUCCACAUGUUGUCUCCAUCAUCACAGCCCCAAUCGUUUAACUCCAAGAAACCCGUUUGACCCGCCGGAUCAUAACCAGACCCGUUCACUACCCUGUCUUGAACGUCCGAUAACGUCUCAGCUGGCGAGUUCGAAGACGUUGCGCACAGUUC
rnacentral:lncRNA from 1 species